UGAAAAGGCGGCAAAACUGCAGAAACGGCAGGAGAGUUAUGUCCUUCAUGAAUUAUAAAGGCAGCAAUGGUGAAAGGGACACAUGCAAGAAGGGAGCCAUGUAUUUAAGAAAUGUUCCUGUUUUAUCGGCCGCUGCCAACCAGCUGUCGCUCGUCACGUGGGUUGCAGAUUACUGUUUUACCGGCCACUAUCGAUCAGCUGUCACGUGUUGGAUUUCACACUGAUACGUUGGAAGCAAAAUGGCGGGAAGUCGAGCAUGAGGUGUAAUUGAGGUUAUGAAGCACGAGGUGUGAUUGGGGUUAUGAAGACUAUGCAAUUAAUUAUUUUCUUACUAAAAUGUCUUCCCUCCUGUUACACUGAAAAUCCAUAAGGGCAUCGCAGCUGCUAUACAAUCAAUGCGUCCUUUCUUUCACCGGUGUAGAUUUCGUCACCAUAAUUUGCUCAAAGACGACACGAUCACGUCGGGGUCACCAAAUUUGGGGUCCAAAGGGUUGUCUCCACGUUGUUGUAUCAAAUAAUACACUGGGAAACCUAAUUAACAGUUUAUUCCCACAUUAAAAUAGCCAAGAUCGGCAAAGUAAAAAUUAUCGUGAACUUAACGUGUCUCUCAUUCUUUCCCUUGUUUAACUGUCACCAGUCAAAAAUGUCAAGCAGGGAGAAAUACAAAACGGAAAGAGAGUGGCGACAAUUCCCACAGUCUAAACUUAUGUACCGCCAUCUAGCGCUCGUCCUUAGAAUGUCUAGUUAACGUAUAGUAGGUGGCAAAAACAAAAGAAACUUUUUAAAAGGAUUGUAU